rnacentral:rRNA from 1 species
GAUGAACGCUGGCGGCGUGCUUAACACAUGCAAGUCGAGCGGGCAAUUUAUCUAGCACUGAUUACUUCAAAUGGAAAUCAUAAGUGUAAUCAUGAAUUUCUACCUUUAAUAAGGGAAAAAAGAAAUUCAUGUACGCAAAUAGUGAUAACACAUGAAAGUGGAGUGAUGAGUGCUGGAUAAAUUGCUAGCGGCGGACGGGUGAGUAACGCGUGGGAAACCUGCCCUAUACAGGGGGAUAGCCUCGGGAAACCGGGAUUAAUACCCCAUGAAACUUGAGUCUCGCAUGAGACAUAAGUCAAAGAUUUAUCGGUAUAGGAUGGUCCCGCGUCUGAUUAGCUAGUUGGUGAGGUAACGGCUCACCAAGGCGACGAUCAGUAGCCGGCCUGAGAGGGUGAACGGCCACACUGGAACUGAGACACGGUCCAGACUCCUACGGGAGGCAGCAGUGGGGAAUAUUGCACAAUGGGC